rnacentral:rRNA from 1 species
CCUACGGGAGUCAGCAGUGAGGAAUCUUGGUCAAUGGACGCAAGUCUGAACCAGCCAUGCCGCGUGCAGGAAGACGGCUCUAUGAGUUGUAAACUGCUUUUGUACGAGGGUAAACGCAGAUAAGUGUAUCUGUCUGAAAGUAUCGUACGAAUAAGGCUCGGCUAACUCCGUGCCAGCAGCCGCGGUAAUACUGAGGAUUCAAGCGUUAUCCGGAUUGAUUGGGUUUAAAGGGUGCGUAGGCGGUCGGAUAAGUUAGAGGUGAAAUCCCGAGGCUCAACUUCGGAAGUGCCUCUGAUACUGUUCGGCUAGAGAGUAGUUGCGGUAGGCGGAAUGUAUGGUGUAGCGGUGAAAUGCUUAGAGAUCAUACAGAACACCGAUUGCGAAGGCAGCUUACCAAGCUACUUCUGACGUUGAGGCACGAAAGCGUGGGGAGCAAACAGGAUUAGAGACCCGUGUAGUC